GAACAACGCUGGCGGCGUGCCUAAUGCAUGCAAGUCGGACGGGAACCCUUCGGGGUCGGACCGUGGCGGACGGGUGAGGAGCACGUGGGGAACCGUCGCCCAAGCGCGGGGGGAGUAAGACCCGGGGAAACCGGGGGUAAGACCCCACUAGUCUUGCACGCUGGGUAGGGGGUGGCAAGCAAAAGACGAGAGCUGUGCUUGGAGGGUCCUGCGGCCUAUCAGCUAGUUGGUGGGGUAGUGGCCUACCAAGGCGAUGACGGGUCGCUGGUCUGAGAGGACGACCACGCCACACGGGGACUGAGACACGGCCCCGACUCCUACGGGAGGCAGCAGCAAGGAAUUUUCCGCAAUGGGCGCAAGCCUGACGGAGCGACGCCGC
rnacentral:rRNA from 1 species